rnacentral:rRNA from 1 species
CCUACGGGAGGCAGCAGUCGGGAAUUUUGCACUCUGGGCGCAAGCCUGAUGCACUCAUGCCGCGUGUAUGAAGAAGGCCUUCGGGUUGUAAAGUACUUUCAGCGAGGAGGAAGGCGUUAAGGUUAAUAACCUUGGCGAUUGACGUUACUCGCAUUGAAGCACCGGCUAACUCCGUGCCAGCAGCCGCGGUAAU